GUGUCAGCAGCCGCGGUAAUACGUAGGUGGCAAGCGUUGUCCGGAAUUAUUGGCGUAAAGGGCUCGCAGGCGGUUCCUUAAGUCUGAUGUGAAGGCCCCCGGCUCAACCGGGGAGGGUCAUUGGAAACUGGGGAACUUGAGUGCAGAAGAGGAGAGUGGAAUUCCACGUGUAGCGGUGAAAUGCAUAGAGAUGUGGAGGAACACCAGUGGCGAAGGCGACUCUCUGGUCUGUAACUGACGCUGAGGAGCGAAAGCGUGGGGAGCGAACAGGAUUAGAAACCCGUGUAGUCC
rnacentral:rRNA from 1 species